ACUUUUGCUCAGUACAAUGUGAGGGGAACCGCAGGUUCAGACAUUUGGUGUUUGUGCUUGGCUGAGGAGCCAAUGGUGUGAAGCUGCCAUCUGUGGGAUUAUGACUGGAUGCCUCUGAAUCAGAUUCCCC
rnacentral:ncRNA from 1 species